AAGUCGUAACAAGGUUUCCGUAGGUGAACCUGCGGAAGGAUCAUUAAAAAGGGAUACCGGGCAACCGGUAGACCCCACCCGUGUCUCUCUACUCUUGUUGCUUUGGCAGGCCGUGGCCUCCACCGCGGGCUCCGCCUGCGUGUGCCUGCCAGAGGACCAAACUCUGAAUUUUAGUGAUGUCUGAGUACUAUAUAAUAGUUAAAACUUUCAACAACGGAUCUCUUGGUUCUG
rnacentral:misc_RNA from 1 species